GGAAGGAUCAUUACCGAGGUGUAUUCGCCCUUCACGGGUGCCCUCCCACACCAUGCGUACCUUAAAAUCAGUAACGUGCUUCGGCGGGGUGCCUCCCAAAAGAGGCCGUCGACCCACUGCGGUUCGGCGCCCCCUCGCCGGGGUUCAGACUCUCAAACUGCUCCAACCGGAUCUCAGCGUCUGAGUAGCAUACGAGAAAUCGAACAAAAACUUUCAACAACGGAUCUCUUGGUUCUGGCAUCGAUGAAGAACGCAGCGAAAUGCGAUAAGUAAUGUGAAUUGCAGAAUUUUGUGAAUCAUCGAAUCUUUGAACGCACAUUGCGCCCUUUGGUAUUCCGAAGGGCACACCUGUUCGAGCGCCGUUUAAAAUCUAAGGCCCAGCCUUGCGUUGGUGGCUACCGUCUUUCAGGCGAUACCCCCUAAACUUCCGGGCGUCCGUCUCCCAGCCGGCUAUGCGCAAAAGCACCUGCCGCGCUAGGGGGUGGGCCGCCAGUUACACAGUACGUUUGGCCUCGGAUCAGGUGGGGAUACCCGCUGAACUUAAGCAUAUCAAUAAGCGGAGGAAAAGAAACCAACAGGGAUUGCCUCAGUAACGGCGAGUGAAGCGGCAAAAGCUCAGAUUUGAAAUCCGGCCCCCCGGCCCGAGUUGUAAUCUGCAGAGGAACGUUCGGCAGAGGCGCCGGUCCAAGUCUCCUGGAACGGAGCGUCGCAGAGGGUGAGAGCCCCGUACGCGGCCGGCAGCCGACGCCGUGUGAACGUCCUUCGACGAGUCGAGUUGUUUGGGAAUGCAGCUCAAAGCGGGUGGUAAAUUCCAUCUAAGGCUAAAUACCGGCCAGAGACCGAUAGCGCACAAGUAGAGUGAUCGAAAGAUGAAAAGCACUUUGGAAAGAGAGUUAAACAGUACGUGAAAUUGUUGAAAGGGAA
rnacentral:misc_RNA from 1 species